rnacentral:rRNA from 1 species
AACGAACGCUGGCGGCAGGCCUAAUACAUGCAAGUCGAACGCCGUAGCGAAUACGGAGUGGCAGACGGGUGAGUAACGCGUGGGAACCUUCCUAAUGGUACGGAAUAGCCCGGGGAAACCCGGAGUAAUACCGUAUAAGCCCGUAAGGGGAAGAUUUAUCGCCAUUAGAUGGGCCCGCGUCGGAUUAGCUAGUUGGUAGGUAACGGCCUACCAAGGCUACGAUCCGUAGCUGGUCUGAGAGGAUGAUCAGCCACACUGGGACUGAGACACGGCCCAGACCUCCUACGGGAGGCAGCAGUAGGGAAUAUUGGACAAUGGGCGAAAGCCUGAUCCAGCCAUGCCGCGUAGAGUG